rnacentral:rRNA from 1 species
CCUACGGGAGGCAGCAGUGAGGAAUAUUGGUCAAUGGGCGGAAGCCUGAACCAGCCAAGUCGCGUGAGGGAAUAAGGCCCUACGGGUCGUAAACCUCUUUUGCCGGGGAGCAAGGGCCGGGACGAGUCCCGUUCCGGAGAGUACCCGGAGAAAAAGCAUCGGCUAACUCCGUGCCAGCAGCCGCGGUAAUACGGAGGAUGCGAGCGUUAUCCGGAUUUAUUGGGUUAAAAGGGUGCGUAGGCGGGCGUUUAAGUCAGCGGUAAAAAUUCGGGGCUCAACCCCGUCCGGCCGUUGAAACUGGGGGGCUUGAGUGGGCGAGAAGAAGGCGGAAUGCGUGGUGUAGCGGUGAAAUGCAUAGAUAUCACGCAGAACCCCGAUUGCGAAGGCAGCCUGCCGGAGCCCGACUGACGCUGAGGCACGAAAGUGCGGGGAUCGAACAGGAUUAGAUACCCCUGUAGUC